rnacentral:rRNA from 1 species
GUUUUACCUUGACGAAUUGUAGUUUAAAGAAGUGUUUUCUGUUGAAGUUUUGGUAAAAGUUCUUUGGAAUAGGACAUCAUAGAGGGUGAGAAUCCCGCUUUUGACCAUUAUUUUCAGCUGUGUGAUACACUUUCAAAGAGUCGGAUUGUUUGGGAAUGCAGUCCAAAAUGGGUGGUAAAUUUCAUCUAAAGCUAAAUAUUGGCGAGAGACCGAUAGCGAACAAGUACCGUGAGGGAAAGAUGAAAAGAACUUUGAAAAGAGAGUUAAACAGUACGUGAAAUUGUCAAAAGGGAAGCGUUUGACACCAGUGUUGUUUUCUCGAAAAUCAAUUAAAAAAAGUUGGAUUUUGUGUUGUAUUGACCUUAACAGCUUUCUGCACUCUUUUCCUGCUUUUUUU